rnacentral:rRNA from 1 species
UUUAAAGUCUAACCUGCCCAAUGAGGAUUUGAAUGGCCGCGGUAAUUUGACCGUGCAAAGGUAGCAUAAUCAUUAGUUUUUUAAUUGAAAGCUGGAAUGAAUGGUUGGACGAGAAGAUGACUGUCUCUAUUUAAUUUAUAUAGAAUUUUACCUUUAAGUAAAAAGGCUUAAAUUAUUUUAAAAGACGAGAAGACCCUAUAGAACUUUAUAUUAUUUAAUUUAUUGAUUUAUUAGAAUCAUUUAAUUUAUAUUUAAAAUAAUAUUUUGUUGGGGUGACAGAAAAAUUAAAUUAACUUUUUAUAAUUAAUUCAUUGAUUUAUGAUUAAUUGAUCCAUUUAAGUAUGAUUAUAAGAUAAAGUUACCUUAGGGAUAACAGCGUAAUUUUUUUUGAGAGUUCAUAUCGAAAAGAAAGUUUGCGACCUCGAUGUUGGAUUAAAGUUAAUUUAUGGUGUAGGUGCUGUAUAAAUUAGGUCUGUUCGACCUUUAAAACUUUACAUGAUCUGAGUUUAAACCGGCGUGAGCCAGGUUGGUUUCUAUCUUUAAAUAAAUUAAACAUUUUAGUACGAAAGGACCAGAUGUUUAUAAAAAUUAUUAUAUUUUGAAUAUUAUUAAUA